UACGAAGGGUGCAAGCGUUACUCGGAAUUACUGGGCGUAAAGCGUGCGUAGGUGGUGAGUUAAGUCUGUCGUGAAAGCCCCGGGCUCAACCUGGGAAUGGCGAUGGAUACUGGCUCGCUAGAGUGCGGUAGAGGAGAGUGGAAUUCCCGGUGUAGCAGUGAAAUGCGUAGAGACCGGGAGGAACAUCAGUUGCGAAGGCGGCUCCCUGGACCAGCACUGACACUGAGGCACGAAAGCGUGGGGAGCAAACAGG
rnacentral:rRNA from 1 species